rnacentral:snRNA from 1 species
GGAUGUGAGGGCGAUCUGGCUGCAACAUCUGUCACCCCAUUGAUCGCCAGGGUUGAUUCGGCUGAUCUGGCUGGCUAGGCGGGUGUCCCCUUCCUCCCUCACCGCUCCAUGUGCGUCCCUCCCGAAGCUGCGCGCUCCGUCGAAGAGGACGACCUUCCCCACUAGAGGAGGACUGUUCUUCGGUCAAGGGUAUACGAGUAGCUGCGCUCCCCUGCUAGAACCUCCAAACAAGCUCUCAAGGUCCAUUUGUAGGAGAACGUAGGGUAGUCAAGCUUCCAAGACUCCAGACACAUCCAAAUGAGGCAUUGCACGUGGCAGUCUGCCUUUCUUU